rnacentral:rRNA from 1 species
CCUACGGGGGGCAGCAGUAGGGAAUCUUCGGCAAUGGGGGCAACCCUGACCGAGCAACGCCGCGUGAGUGAAGAAGGUUUUCUGAUCGUAAAGCUCUGUUGUCAGAGAAGAACGUGUGUGAGAGUGGACAGUUCACACAGUGACGGUAACUUACCAGCAAGGGACUGCUAACUACGUGCCAGCAGCCGCUGUAAUACGUAGGUCCCGAGCGUUAUCCGGAUUUAUUGGGCGUAAAGCGAGCGCAGGCGGUUGGAUAAGUCUGAAGUUAAAGGCUGUGGCUUAACCAUAGUAUGCUUUGGAAACGGUUCAACGUGAGUGCAGAAGGGGAGAGUGGAAUUCAAUGUGUAGCGGGGGAAUGCGUAGAUAUAUGGAGGAAAGCCGGUGGCGAAAGCGGCUCGCUGGUCUGUAACGGACGCGGAGGCUCGAAAGCGUGUGUAGCGAACAGGAUUAGAUACCCGGGUAGUC